rnacentral:rRNA from 2 species
AGUAUACCGGAAGGUGUGCUUGGAAC